rnacentral:sRNA from 1 species
GCUGGGCGUGGUGGCUCACAUCUGUAAUCCCAGAGUCUUGGGGGGCUGAGGCAGGAGGAUAGUGAGUUCAAAGCCAGCCUCAGCAACUUAUCGAGGCCCUAAGCAACUUAGUUAGACCCUGUAUCUA